ACACAUUUUAGAGCCUAAUUCACCUCAACUAAUAAUUGAAAUUACAAUCAAAUCCAAAUUCAAUAUUCUAAUGCUAGAAUUUAUUCUCAAAUAAAUUUAAUGUAAUCCAUCUCUACUUUUAUAUGCUGCACCUUGAUCUGAUUUCUAAUACUAUACUAUAUACUAAUUAUAUAUUUCUAAAAAUAAUUUUUAACGACGAUAUACAAGCAAAAUAAAAGUUUUAUUAAUCGUGGAUUAUCAAUUACAGGACAGAUUCCCCUGAUUGGAAUAAAAUACCGCCAAAUUCUUUGAUUUUUAAGUACAUAACUAAUAUUUAUCAGGUUCUGAGUUUUUCACGUCUAAAAUAAUGGGGUAUCUAAUCCCAGUUUAUUAUUUAGAUUUCUUAACUUCAUAAUCAAAAAUUUAAGUAAAUAAAAAAUAGGAUUCCACCCAAUAUUCAUUAAAAUAAAAAUUAUUUAUUAAUAAUUAAAUAUAACCAAAAAAAAAUAGUAGUAUUAUUUGUUUAACCGCA
rnacentral:rRNA from 1 species